rnacentral:rRNA from 1 species
UACGUAGGGUGCAAGCGUUAAUCGGAAUUACUGGGCGUAAAGCGUGCGCAGGCGGUUUUGUAAGUCUGACGUGAAAUCCCCGGGCUCAACCUGGGAAUUGCGUUGGAGACUGCAAGGCUAGAAUCUGGCAGAGGGGGGUAGAAUUCCACGUGUAGCAGUGAAAUGCGUAGAGAUAUGGAGGAACACCGAUGGCGAAGGCAGCCCCCUGGGUCAAGAUUGACGCUCAUGCACGAAAGCGUGGGGAGCAAACAGG